rnacentral:lncRNA from 1 species
AUUUGGAGUUAUUAGAUUUAAGAAUGUUUGUGUAAGAAAAACACGUCAAGACUGUGAACUCAGGACCUCUCCCUCUCCAGGGUGGGAUCAUGAGUGAAGAUUUGCCCUCCCACGACUGGGGAAGAUUUGCUCACGUUUUGGAAUAGAAACCAGAUGUCUUUCCACAAACAGGAGCUCUGUGCAAGAGAGACACUGUACAAGAGCCGAGUUCCUCCUUUUGGAAUUUCGCUCCUGAAACGCAUCCCAGAUGGUCCACAGACCAGUGCCAUGUGGUGCUGAUUGGCUCCCUUCCUGCUGUCUGGAUCACGGGUCUGGACCUUCUGGAAAUGUUGGGAAUGGCGCCUACUCUGACCUCCUUCAAAGAAUUCAGGAAGUUGCAUGAUCUGUGGGAACGGUUCUCACUGCACACGCACACCCAGGCUGGACAACCCUUGAGAAUGAUUCUGAGACCUCAGCUGUUAUGGACUGAACUUCUCCAUCCCCUCCAACAUGUAUGUGCUGAAUAUUAACCUUUUGGAAGCUUAGAAAGUAGGGACUUUGUAAGGUAGUGACGUCAUGAAAGUGGGAGUCUGAAAGGGAUGUUUCUUCACAGAAAACAAAUACAAUUCCUCUCCUUCCCUCCCUUCCCUCCCUCUCUCCUCCUCCUUCCUCCUCCUCCUCCUCUUCUUUCCCCUUCUCCUCCAUCCUCCUCUUCCUCCUCCUCCUGAAACCACCCAAAAUUCUCCUACCAAAAUCCGAAAAUGUUAGCACCCGAUCUUGGGGUUUCUUCCUCCAAACUUGGAAAUGGAUUUUUUGUUCAUCAGCCUCCCAAUCUGUUAUAAUUCCUUAGAGCAGCCUGAAUUAACUUAUAAAUUGGAUUAGGAGUAGGACGCUGCUGUUGCCAGUACCUAAAGC